rnacentral:rRNA from 1 species
CUACGGGUUGCACCAGCAGGGAAUAUUGCACAAUGGACGGAAGUCUGAUGCAGCGACGCCGCGUGGAUGAUGAAGGCCUUCGGGUUGUAAAAUCCUUUUCAGGGAGAAGAGGAAGGACGGUAUCCCUGGAAUAAGCGUCGGCUAACUACGUGCCAGCAGCCGCGGUAAUACGUAGGACGCAAGCGUUAUCCGGAUUUACUGGGCGUAAAGCGUCUGUAGGCGGUUUAGUAAGUUUGAUGUGAAAGCUCCAGGCUCAACUUGGAGAGUGCAUUGAAUACUGUUAGACUUGAGGGGAUCAGAGGAAAGCGGAAUUUCCGGUGUAGCGGUAAAAUGCGCAGAUAUCGGAAAGAACACCAGUGGCGAAGGCGGCUUUCUGGGAUCAACCUGACGCUGAGAGACGAAAGCUAGGGUAGCGAACAGGAUUAGAUACCCCGGUAGUC